CCUACGGGUGGCAGCAGUGAGGAAUAUUGGUCAAUGGACGAGAGUCUGAACCAGCAACGUAGCGUGAAGGAUGACUGCCCUAUGGGUUGUAACCUUCUUUUAUAAAGGAAUAAAACGAGGCACGUGUGCCUUUUUGCAUGUACUUUAUGACUAAGGAUCGGCUAACGACGUGCCAGCAGCCGCGGUAAUACGGAGGAUCCGAGCGUUUUCCGGAUUUAUUGGGUGUAAGGGGAGUGUAGAUGGGUUGUGAAGUCAGUUGUGAAAGUUGGCGGCUCAACCGUGAAAUUGCAAUUGAUACUGGCAGUCUUGAGUACAGUGGAGGUAGGCGGAAUUCGUGGUGUAGCGGUGAAAUGCUUAGAUAUCACGAAGAACCCCGAUUGCGAAGGUAGCUUACUAAACUGUGACUGACAUUGAUGCUCGAAAGUGUGGGUAGCAAACAGGAUUAGAUACCCCUGUAGUC
rnacentral:rRNA from 1 species